CCUACGGGCGGCAGCAGUGAGGAAUAUUGGUCAAUGGACGAGAGUCUGAACCAGCCAAGUAGCGUGAAGGAUGACUGCCCUAUGGGUUGUAAACUUCUUUUAUAUGGGAAUAAAAUGUUCCACGUGUGGGAUUUUGUAUGUACCAUAUGAAUAAGGAUCGGCUAACUCCGUGCCAGCAGCCGCGGUAAUACGGAGGAUCCGAGUGUUAUCCGGAUUUAUUGGGUUUAAAGGGAGCGUAGGUGGAUUGUUAAGUCAGUUGUGAAAGUUUGCGGCUCAACCGUAAAAUUGCAGUUGAAACUGGCAGUCUUGAGUACAGUAGAGGUGGGCGGAAUUCGUGGUGUAGCGGUGAAAUGCUUAGAUAUCACGAAGAACUCCGAUUGCGAAGGCAGUUCACUGGACUGCAACUGACACUGAGGCUCGAAAGUGUGGGUAUCAAACAGGAUUAGAUACCCCAGUAGUC
rnacentral:rRNA from 1 species